rnacentral:rRNA from 1 species
UACGGCCACAUAACGUUGAAACACCUGUUCUGGUACGAUCACCGAUGUUAAGCAAGGUCGAACCAAGUCAGUACCUAGAUGGGUGACUGAUUGGGAAUACCAGGUGCUGUAAG